rnacentral:rRNA from 1 species
CACGUAGGGGUCCGAGCGUUUGUCCGGAAUUACUGGGCGUAAAGCGCGCGCAGGCGGCCCCGACACAUCGGCGGUGAAAAGCCCCCCCCGCUUAACGGGGGGAGGGUCCUGUGAUGGUCGGGGCUGGAGGCAGGGGAGAGGGCGGUGGAAUUCCGGGUGUAGUGGUGAAAAUGCGCAGAUAUCGGGAGGAACACCAAUGGCGAAGGCAGCUCGCUGGGGACGGUACUGACGCUGAGGCGCGAAAAGCGUGGGGGAGCAAACAGGAUUAGAAACCCC